GCACGAGAAAGGGUAGCAAUACCUGAGUACAGUGGCGCACGGGUGAGUAACACGUGAAUGAUCUACCUCCGAGUGGGGAAUAACUUAGGGAAACCUGAGCUAAUACCGCAUAACACUUACGAGUCAAAGCAGCAAUGCGCUUGGAGAGGAGUUCGCGGCAGAUUAGCUAGUUGGCGGGGUAAUGGCCCACCAAGGCGAUGAUCUGUAUCCGGCCUGAGAGGGCGCACGGACACACUGGAACUGAAACACGGUCCAGACUCCUACGGGAGGCAGCAGUGGGGAAUUUUGCGCAAUGGGGGAAACCCUGACGCAGCAACGCCGCGUGGAGGAUGAAAUCCCUUGGGAUGUAAACUCCUUUCGAUCGGGACGAUUAUGACGGUACCGGAAGAAGAAGCCCCGGCUAACUUCGUGCCAGCAGCCGCGGUAAUACGAGGGGGGCGAGCGUUGUUCGGAAUUAUUGGGCGUAAAGGGUGCGUAGGCGGUUUGAUAAGUCUUGUGUGAAAUCUCUGGGCUCAACCCAGAGUCUGCACAGGAAACUGUCGGGCUUGAGUAUGGGAGAGGUGAGUGGAAUUUCCGGUGUAGCGGUGAAAUGCGUAGAUAUCGGAAGGAACACCUGUGGCGAAAGCGGCUCACUGGACCAUUACUGACGCUGAUGCACGAAAGCUAGGGGA
rnacentral:rRNA from 1 species